rnacentral:rRNA from 1 species
GACAGAGGUGCCAAGCGUUAGGCGGAAUCACUGGGCUUAAAGCGUGUGUAGGCGGAACGGUAAGUACCUUGUGAAAUCCCACAGCUCAACUGUGGAACUGCUCGGUAUACUGCUUUUCUUGAGCCACUUAGGGGCUGUCGGAACAAACGGUGGAGCGGUGAAAUGCGUAGAGAUCCGGAAGAACACCGGUGGCGAAGGCGGCCUGCUGGGGUGGAGCUGACGCUGAGGCGCGACAGCGUGGGGAGCAAACAGG